rnacentral:rRNA from 1 species
CUACGGGAGGUCCAGUGGGGAAUAUUGCACAAUGGAGGAAACUCUGAUGCAGCAACGCCGCGUGGAGGAUGACACUUUUCGGAGCGUAAACUCCUUUUAUAUAGGAAGAAGAUGACGGUACUAUAAGAAUAAGCGCCGGCUAACUCCGUGCCAGCAGCCGCGGUAAUACGGAGGGCGCAAGCGUUACUCGGAAUCACUGGGCGUAAAGAGCGUGUAGGCGGAUUAAAAAGUCAGAAGUGAAAUCCUAUAGCUUAACUAUAGAACUGCUUCUGAAACUCUUAAUCUAGAAUAUGGGAGAGGUAGAUGGAAUUUCUGGUGUAGGGGUAAAAUCCGUAGAGAUCAGAAGGAAUACCGAUUGCGAAGGCGAUCUACUAGAACAUUAUUGACGCUGAGACGCGAAAGCGUGGGGAGCAAACAGGAUUAGAUACCCUAGUAGUC